AUGCCUCAGAUCGAGUCGAGCAGGUCGGUCGACGCGUUAGGGUUCCGUUUGGUCAGCUCCGUACCGGCUCUCUGGUUGGCCGCCCGCCCGAUGAUGGAUCUCCUGCCGCUCUCCCACCAGGCGCUCUUCGCGGCCGUCCGAUCCGCGGACACCGAGGCCGUGCGCCGCCUCCUGGCCGUCGCCGAGGAGUCCGUGCUCUACGUCGCGGCGGAGGCCGGCGCGCUCGAGGUCGUGCACCUCCUCCUCCCGCUCUACGACCUCGAGGCCGCCAAGCUCCGCUCCCGCCUCGACCUCGACGCCUUCCACGUCGCCGCCAAGCAAGGGCACACCAAUCUACUUGGAUCCUGGUGGCUUCUUUUGCCAAGCAAUAUCAUGUGCUUAUUAGUUGCAAGUUGUAUUGGUUUGCUCUGCUGCCAUUCGUCUGCGCCGGAUGCCGCGCCCGGGGCCGCUGGUGGCCUCGAGGACGACGCCCAGGCUAAGGCAUACGAGGGCGCACCACCACCGUAUGACAGGACCAAGUGCAUGGUCAUCCCCGACACGCUGAAGGUUCUGAGGCUGCAGCCUGCGCACAGGUACUGCCUCCUCAGCCAGCUCUCCAAGGAGGUCAGAUGGAACUAUGCUGACACCAUCAGGUUUACAACUUCCAAGAUAUCAAUCAUUCAUUCUCAAGUUGCUGCUGGCAGCUACAAGUCGCUCUUUUCUGGAAUUUUCAUGUUCUUUUUUAUGUUCGGGAUGGCGGAGAAGGAGAUGGAGUACCGGGCAAAUUUGGGGCUGAGGAAAGAAGACGAGGAGCAACUUCUCUCUGGUCUGGUCAUUGGAACUUCAGGACAAGGUGAAGGUUUUCAAAUGUUGAAGGAGGAGGACAAUAGGAACUUCUGUGAUGUCUUGUCAUCUAUUUUCUUUUCUUUGUUGUAG
rnacentral:rRNA from 1 species